AUGAAUUCUGAAACAAUGGAAAUACUGAGCAACAAAGAAGUAAUUCAAGUAAACCAAGAUCCUCUUGGAGUUCAAGGAAGAAAAAUUUUAGGACAAG